CCUACGGGAGGCAGCAGUGGGAAAUAUUGGGCAAUGGGCGCAAGCCUGACCCAGCAACGCCGCGUGAAGGAAGAAGGCUUUCGGGUUGUAAACUUCUUUGAAGAGGGAAGAGCAGAAGACUGUACCUCUUGAAUAAGCCACGGCUAACUACGUGCCAGCAGCCGCGGUAAUACGUAGGUCGCAAGCGUUGUCCGGAUUUACUGGGUGUACAGGGCGUGUAGCCGGGCUGACAAGUAAGAUGUGAAAUUCCGGGGCUCAACCCCGGACCUGCAUUUGAAACUGUUGGUCAUGAGUAUAGGAGAGGCAGGCGGAAUUACUAGUGUAGCGGUGAAAUGCGUAGCUAUUAGGAGGAACACCAGUGGCGAAGGCGGCCUGCUGGACGACAACUGACGGUGAGGCGCGAAAGCGUGGGGAGCAAACAGGAUUAGAUACCCUAGUAGUC
rnacentral:rRNA from 1 species